rnacentral:piRNA from 1 species
AACAAGCUGGUGUUCUGUGAAGU